rnacentral:rRNA from 1 species
UACAGAGGGGGCAAGCGUUAUUCGGAAUUAUUGGGCGUAAAGGGCGCGUAGGCGGCUUUGCAAGUGACGGGUGAAAUCCCUCGGCUUAACCGGGGAAUUGCCUGUCAAACUGCAUGGCUUGAGACCGGGAGAGGUGAGUGGAAUUCCCAGUGUAGCGGUGAAAUGCGUAGAUAUUGGGAGGAACACCGGUGGCGAAGGCGGCUACCUGGACCGGUUCUGACGCUGAGGCGCGAAAGCGUGGGUAGCAAACAGG